GUGAGGAAUAUUGCGCAAUGGGCGAAAGCCUGACGCAGCAACGCCGCGUGGACGAAGACGGCCUUCGGGUUGUAAAGUCCUUUUCUGAGGGACGAGCAAGGACGGUACCUCAGGAAGAAGUCCCGGCUAACUACGUGCCAGCAGCCGCGGUAAAACGUAGGGGGCAAGCGUUAUCCGGAUUUACUGGGCGUAAAGGGCGCGUAGGCGGUUUCGUAAGUUGGGUGUGAAAGCUCUUGGCUUAACCGAGAGAGGCCACUCAAAACUGCGAGACUUGAGGCCGAGAGAGGAGAGCGGAAUUCCCGGUGUAGUGGUGGAAUGCGUAGAGAUCGGGAGGAACAUCCGUGGCGAAGGCGGCUCUCUGGCUCGGAACUGACGCUGAGGCGCGAAAGCGUGGGGAGCGAACGGGAUUAGAUACCCUUGUAGUCC
rnacentral:rRNA from 1 species